rnacentral:rRNA from 1 species
UGUAGGCUGCAACUCGCCUACAUGAAGUCGGAGUUGCUAGUAAUCGCGGAUCAGAAUGCCGCGGUGAAUGCGUUCCCGGGUCUUGUACACACCGCCCGUCACACCAUGGAAGUUGGGGGCGCCCGAAGUUGCCUAAGAAAUAAGGUACCUAAGGCGAAACCAAUGACUGGGGUGAAGUCGUAACAAGGUAGC